AGGUCCUGCCUGCCCAGUGACUAUGUUAAACGGCCGCGGUAUUUUGACCGUGCAAAGGUAGCGCAAUCACUUGUCUUUUAAAUGAAGACCUGUAUGAAUGGUGGAACGAGGGCCUAACUGUCUCCCUUUUCAAGUCAAUGAAAUUGAUCUGCCCGUGCAGAAGCGGGCAUACAAAUACAAGACGAGAAGACCCUUUGGAGCUUAAGAUUAAAAAUCAACUAUGUCAAAUAUUCAUUAAAUAGAACUAAAUAGUAAUUGAUCAUAAUCUUCGGUUGGGGCGACCACGGAAUAAAAACAAACUUCCACAUGGACUGAGGACUAACCUUAAAACCAAGAAAGACAUUUCUAAGUAACAGAAUUUCUGACCGCACAGAUCCGGCAAAUUGCCGAUCAAUGGACCAAGUUACCCUAGGGAUAACAGCGCAAUCCCCUUUUAGAGUUCCUAUCGACAAGGGGGUUUACGACCUCGAUGUUGGAUCAGGAC
rnacentral:rRNA from 1 species